rnacentral:lncRNA from 1 species
UCAUUGCAACAUAAAAUCACUUAGGGUAAUUAUUGAAGGAACUUGGGAGCUUGCUGUCUGAUGCUGCUGGAGUGCAAAAAGCUUAUACAGUUUAGGUGAGAAACGUUGGAGUGUAACAGAAAAGUUUUGAACACACAACCACUGGUAUUCCAAACCACCUUCAUGUUUCCGGUACAGACCGCAUUAGAGCUGAUUCGAUUAAGGAUGUUACCCAAUGCACACACGUGUAUAAAUUAUCGAGUUGGGUUGAAAGUGGUAGUUCACGAUUUCAGUUCCAACCUCCAACAUUGAUUUUACUUCGGUUCCAACUUCCAAAUUAUCGAGUUCAACCCGAAGGGGAAACUUUAACCUUGGUAGUUUGGUUUUAUGCCUUAGGAAUGUAUCUAAUCAAUAUAAGCCCAGUGUAGCGUUUCAAUACCCGAGUUGUUUUUUUAAUCUGAAACGACUAGGUUCUUCCGAUGUAAGUUUUUGUAAAUAUAUGUUU